CUCGCACGCAACCGGGGUUCGACUCCCCGCUGGGAAGUUCUCAGUGGUCCAACGGUCAAGACUCGUGCCUGUCAAG
rnacentral:tRNA from 1 species